GUGGUAUCAACGCAGAGUACAUGGGGUUGACCUCGGAUCAGGUAGGAGUUACCCGCUGAACUUAAGCAUAUCAAUAAGCGGAGGAAAAGAAACCAACCGGGAUUGCCUCAGUAACGGCGAGUGAAGCGGCAAGAGCUCAAAUUUGAAAUCUGGCCCCCUCGGGGUCCGAGUUGUAAUUUGCAGAGGAUGCUUCGGGAGCGGUCCCCAUCUAAGUGCCCUGGAACGGGCCGUCAUAGAGGGUGAGAAUCCCGUCUGGGAUGGGCGGCCGCGCCCGUGUGAAGCUCCUUCGACGAGUCGAGUUGUUCG
rnacentral:rRNA from 1 species